AAGACUCCAUACAUUCAGCGUCUUAAGAAGCAGACCCAGAGUUCCAGGGCACAGCCUCAGCAGCCCAAGGCCAGCUCCAAGGUCACUGGCCUUUCCUGAUUUGACCUUCACUUGGGAUCAAGUCUUCCUGAACCAGAAACAAGCUGAAUCCGAGAAGCCCAGGCAGGCUGUGCUGCUAGCAUCCUGUGUAUUUCGGUGAGUCCUCCACAACAAAGUACGCCCUUCAUCCAGCUGAAGUCACAUUUAAAAUUAACAGGUAAAACCAUUCCGAGCUCAGAUGCCAAGCCCACCCAGGAAGGCAUGGUGGUAGAGUGAACCUGGGUUCCAAUCCCAGCUUUGCCUCUUAUCAGCUGUGUAACCUUAAUCAAGUUAUUUAACCUCUCUUGGUUCCCACUGGUGAUUUUCAAAAUUGAAUGUAAUCUCCCUGGCUUUGCAAUGAAAUUGAAUGACACAAUGUCUGCUAGAUGCUUGGCAUGUGGUAGGUGGUCAUGAACAUUGUUUUCUUCUCCCCUUGUCUGGCUUAAAAACAGAAAUGUGCUUCCCUGGGCAGCUCUAUAGGUCAUAAGGUAGCAAGAAAAGUCCUUAUGCUUAAACCUCCCAUGCCAUCUCUCCUGGAGCCUAGUUUACACACACACACACACACACACACACACACACACACCCAGCAAUUUGCUGUAUAAACACAACCACAAGUUCACCAGGAUCCUUAAAUUCCAAACAAAACCUCCAACUGCAAGUCUUUUUAAUCAGGGCCCUCUGAACCACAAGCAGCCCUUGCCUGGGGCCACACUGCCUUUUUCCGGCUCACCCCUCUGUACUGCCCCCACCAGCUGAAAAGUCCGGAAUAACGACUUAAGACAGCUAGGUGAUCAAUACCCAGAUUUUCGGGCUCAGUAGCCUAAUUUGAUAAGACGGUUUGGAAAAUAUUGACAUUACCCAAAUGUCUAGGUGGACCCAGGACAUUCGGGUAAUGCCCCAGUUUCCUCUGAAACCAUCAAGGUUAGAAUCAAUGGGGGCGGAAGAGGAGAAGAGGUGAAUUUCCUGACCAGCAACCUUGCCCCCCGCCCCCUCCCACCCCCACUCACACACCACCACAUAGCUCACAGUGAUUUAGGCAGCUGCACCACAGGCUGCUCCACCAGGCUUUUCAAUACCGGCCAAGGAAGACAAGGCAGUACAUGCACCACACCCACCCCCUGGCCCCAGAAAUUUUAGAAAAUCGUCCUACCUUGUAAGGUUCCUAGGCCAGAGCAUUUCACUACAUUGCGGCCCUUGGAGAACAGCGGACAAAGAAGCUGAAUGAAUCUCACAGGAUGGCAAGUCCUUUAGCCAGCUGAGCCAGCCCACACUGGGCCAGGGAAUCCCAGGCACCCAGCAACUCUGUAACUAAAGGACUAGCUAGCAGGGAUCACCAUUCCCCAGGCCAGGAAAGAAAUCCGAUCCCCCAACAAAAUUAACCUCUGAAGUGCUGAAGGAUCGAGAGGUCAGGCCUCAGUGCUGGUAUCAAGUCAGCUGUGAAAAGUUUCAGCAAAGCAAAAGCUAACACCAAACUCUGAAACCAUUACCGUAAAGCACUGAAUGGAAGGGCCCUCCAUGUGGUCCCAGGGGAGUUUGCAACAGCGGGUCAAAUUGAAGAAAAUCUAAGAAUGAAAAACUACUUUAAAUCCUCACAGACUGCACAGAAACAUUGCAGAAAGUCUUUCCAGCCCUAAGUGCUACUUUUAAUGAUGCAAAAAUCAUUGACUAUAACAUUUCUUAGCUCAUUCCAUUGACGUCUGAAGGCAAAGCAUUCGAUUGAAAAGAUUAGCCUACAGAGAGAAUUUCUGAACCUAAAAAGGAAAUGAUACCUGUUUGUACAGUUAACAACGACACACAUACAUUAUUUCCGGUGAUGUCAAUUUUGAUGCAGUGCCAACAAAAAUAUGCAUUAAUUCCGCAGGCUACUUAUUUCAAAAGAAAAAGAAUCUCAGUCUAGGCAUGGCUACAUUAAACAUUAUGGUACAGAGGCUGGAAGGGGAGGUGGGUGGGAGAGAGUCCCAGCUCUGGGAUGGGAAGGGGUUGCAUGGACUAAUCCCUAUUAAAACCUGUAAUCAAGGCACUCAGAAAGAACUAUGUAAACAGAUGCUAUGAACAAUGAACAACUGUAUUACUACUGAGAACUCAAAAGCAAACUUAUGUUAUAGCCACAAGCUUUAUUUGAAAACGAAGGAUUAAGAUGUUCUCCAAAACCCUGACUCCCUCUCCAAAAAUCCUACCAGUUGGUUCCUGGUAGCUUUCAAAGACUUUCCCCAAGAAAGGCUCUCCCCCUGGCCAGGGUGGCCUCUCCAGUGGAAGCAGGGAGCGGGGGUUGUGGCCCUGGGGGAUGGUUAGGGAAGGAAGCAGUAACUGGCUCCAAGCGAGGUCUCUGUGUGGUCAGCAUUUGCUCAGCAAACAGAAGCUUUCAAAGGGGAAUGAAGAGCCAUUCCUCUCCCACUGAAAAGGGAGGGAAUAAAAGAUCUGCUCAAAGAGGAGAGGAGGGUCUGGUGGUGAUUCCCAGGUGAAUGAAAAAAAGAUUGUAAUCUCGAAGGAGUCCCAACCAAAGUUAAUCAUUCACAUCUCAUCCUUCAGGGCCCUCGUCCACUUGAAAUACUGCUGAGGCAUCUGCCGUGGGGAGUGGGAAGCAGAGGUGGGGGUGGGCAGUGGGUGAGUUUGAGGGAAGGAGUAGUGUCCAGAUAUAUUAAGACAAAAAAGUUGGGACAGACCCAAGUUCUGGCUGACAAGGAUGCUUCAAACCACCCCUUACCUUCUAUGCUGUCCCUGGAACUGACUGUAUCUUUACGAUAUUACUUCUUUGAGAAUCUGUCCAACAUCCGAGUUAACUUGGGAAUGGGAUGGUGAUUGUGUGUAUGGAGACACACAGGCACAUGGGCACAGAUGCACACACACGCUCUAAAAAGUUUCCAUUGUUUCCUCGCUCUAGGCAAACAUAAUAGGUAAACAUUCUGAUUUGUCAUCAAGGUAAGCUAGGAAAUGUUGAUGUAUUCAUUUAUUCAUUCAUCAACUACCAUAUUUAUAAAGCAUCUGCAAUGUGGCAAGUGCUGUUCUAAGUGCAGAAGAUACAAGCAGUCAACAAAAUAGACCAAAAAUCUCAACUCUAAUGGAACUUAGCUUCAGUGGUAGAACUAUAAAAUAAAUGAGACAAAAUGUAAAUUUUACAGUACAUUAGCAAUAAAUGCUCGGGAGAACAACGUAUUGUAAAGAAGAAGAUGUGAUUUGUCAAGGUGGGGUGUGGGAAAUUUUACAUGGGCUGGCUAUGGCAGGUCUGCUGAGGGCAUGGUUUUUAUUACAAAUCUAAAAGAAGUAUGGGAGCUGGGUAUCUGAAUACCUGGGGAUAAGGGACUUUCAAGAGAGGAAAUGGUCAGUGCAAAGGCCCUGAGAUAGUAUACGACUUGCAAUGCAUUCCAAGAAUGAGUGGCUGGAGCAGUGAGCGGUGAACCAAAGUGGGGUGAGGAGGGGGUCAGGCCAGAGAGUCCAAGGGUACAGCGAGAGAGGAGAGUGCCUAAAUGGGGCCCUGCAAGUCAGCGUAAGCAGCUUGUCUUUUACUCUGAGGGAGAGAGGAUACAUUGGAGGUUUAAUAGAUGGAGUUUCUUCUUUUUAUAAAAGUUCAUGUAAAUGUACAACACUAAACAUAUCGUUUUGAUUACACAUGAUUUUUACAGGGGUGAGUUUAUUGUAGGAGACAUAGUGCUUUAAGGAGGUCUUAGUUUUCUUUCUAUGGUUAAAAGAAUCACACCUUUCAUGUUAGAGGCUCUGAAUUAUUUGCAGCUACAGGUUCUAAUUGAGUCAGGGUUUUCUCAUGGUUUGAAAGAUAAUAAUUAGUAGGGAUAAGGGAGACCCAGGCAACGAGAGAGGAAAAGGGAAAGUAAACCAACUCCAUGAGGGCAGAUGCCCUUUGGCGCUUUUCAAGAGCCAGGAUUGCUCUGUCAUUUUUGACGCUUGCUUCUAAACAGGCCAAAUUCCAAAGGGCUCCCAGAACUCAUAACACUUUUCUCCACAGAAACAAUGUUAUCAGUGAUGUUAAGGUUUCCAGGUUACUCACAGAGCCAUCUAUAAAACCAAGAUGUAGUUGAUGAACUCUACUCAGGUAUCAAAGAGUAGAAGAAAACUUUAUUCUUGGAAUACAGUACAUAAUUAGACAAAACAGAAAACCACAAAUCUAAAAAGAUGUUCACUUAUUUCUAAUGAGUAUUUUAUGAAAACAAUGCUAGUGAAGACACUUCGUUCCUUUUCUUCCAACAUAUUCAACCCUCUUUCCUGGCUUUUCCCUGCAGGCUGAAAAAUAUAUCACUAAUCUCAUCAAAUCAAACAAAAACUUUUUUUUUUUUUUACCUCAUGCCCAUAUUCUCCUCCACUCCUUUGAGGUGUUUUCCUGUACUUCUCAUGUUCCGUGAUCCUUCAACCCACCAGGCAAGAUGUUUGUUCCCACUACUCCACUGAGACCACUUUCUCUUUUCCCUGAGAACAUCAAUGGCUUCCUCCUUGCCAAAGCCAAUGGUCAACUCUCUGUCCUUACCCUACUUGAGUUUUCAGCAGCAGGUAGCAUCGACAGAUUCUCCCUUCUUGAGUGGGCCUCAUCCCGGGUUUCCAUACUGUCAUCUGUACCUGGUUCCUACCUCCCUAACUGCGCUUCUCAAUCUCCUAGGCUCACCCUCCUCUUCACCUCUCCAGAACUCCAGGGCCUCCAUCCCUGGACCCCUCCUCUUCUCUAACUAUAACUUCUCACUAACUUCUAACUAAGUUAUAACUACCACUUCUAACUAACUUCUUUUCCUGGGUGAUCUCAUCCAUGGCUUCAAAUACUAGGUGAAGGCAGACAACUCUAAAGUCUGUAAUCUCUAGCCUGGCCCCUUUGUGUACCCAACACAUCUGAAAUCAAAUUUACCUUACUCAAAACUAUUGCUCCCAACUUCCAAUGUGUCCGCACCCCCACUCCCAAAGUCUUCUGUAUCUCAGAAUAUGACUCUACAUUAACAGUCCUAAUUCUCUCCCUCCUUCUUGCCUCCGAUGUAAUCCAUUAAGAAGGCCUUUUGCCUAGAGUCCCCAAAUAUACCUUGAACCCAAUCACUACUGAACAUCUGCAAUAAGAUAACCUUGGACCAAGAUGCCAUCAUCUCUUUCCUGCAACAGACACCUCCCGGGUCGCUCAGCCUUCCCUCAUGCCUUGCUAGGCUCCAUCCUGCACACCCCAGGGGCAGCAAUCUUUCUCCAGUGUACAGCAGAUUCUGUCACAUUCCUGCUUAAAGCCCACUGAUAGCUUCCCAGGGAACUUAGAAUAAAAUUCAAAUUUGUUCCCUUGGCCUAGAAGCCCUGAUGUGAUCUGGCUUCUCCUCUUCAUUACGUCCAAAGACAGGACCCACAAAUGCACCAAGCUUCUUCCCACUUCCUAGGCCCUCGCACUGUGCCUCCUUUCUGGAAUGCUCCUCCCCAUGUCUCCCACUGGCGGCCCACUUCUCACGGGUCAGAUGUUGGUUGGAAUGGCACCUCCUCAGGGAUUUCCUCUUAGACUCUGGCCCAAUUACAUUCCACCAUAUGAUUUUCUUCAUGGCAUCAACCAGUCAACACAUUGUCUUUCAACAGUCUGUCUUUCCCUCAACACAGGGAGCUCCUCGAGCACAGGUGUACUGUUUGCCUUUGUUCUGAGCCAUAUCCUCCCAGUGCCUAAAUCACUGCUGAUGUGGUCCUGGAUCAACCAAGCAUAGGAGGACAAAAUGGAACUGAUUAUUCCAUGCAGUCUCCUGGGGACUGUGUAGUACUUCCAAGGACUUUAGUUCAAUGGUUUUAUUUGGUCACAGACCCACUUAGGGGCCCGUCUCUCCAUAAGAAAAAAGAUACACAAACAAUAUUUUACACAGAAUUUCCAGGGACUCACUGAUCCCCUGAAUCCUGUCCAUAAAGCCCAGGUUAAGCGCAGCUGCUUCUGAGUUUUGUAAUACCACUUUAGUUUCACUUUUUUUUUUUUUUUUUUUUUGAGAUGGAAUCUCACUCUGUCGCCCAGGCUGGAGUGCAGUGGGCCGAUCUCAGCUCACUGCAACCUCCACCUCCCGGGUUCAAGCGAUUCUCAUGCCUCAGCCUCCCGAACAGCUGGGACUACAGGCAUGCACCACCAUUCCUGGUUAAUUUUUGUAUUUUUAGUAGAGACUGAGUUUCAUCAUGUUGGCCAGGCUGGUCUCAAACUCCUGAUCUCAAGUGAUCCGCCUGCCUUGGCCUCCCAAAGUGCUGGGAUUACAGGAGUGAGCCACCACACCUGGCAGUUUCACUUUUAUACUGACUUUUUGUUUCCUUAAUUUGGGAAUCAGUAUUAUACUCAAUUCAGUUGCUUUCUUCUUGCUUGCUAGUAACAGAACAAAGAGAGAAAGGGAAGGGAGGGAGGGAGGAAGGAAAGCUCUCCUGGAUGAAUGAACAAGAAGGAAAACAUAAAGGUUUAAAAGAGGAUCUGUGUGUAUGGGACACAUUAAAAGAUGUGACACACAUCACAUUGCCUGGUGUGGAAUUUUACUGGGUGUGAUCUGCAACAGGCAGUGGGAAGGAGAGUCUUUAGCAAAGAUUUUGAAGUACAGCAGUUAAUACUAGGGAGUUUAUUAUUUUCAACAAGAAUUAUAGGAAACUAGGCAGCUUUGGGGUAGAAAAUGAACAACAUUCAACAAAUAGUCAAUGCAAAACCUUUGCCAGAUACUAGACUGGACACUGAGAAUAUAAGGCGGAGGAAAAGGAAAUGCCCCAGUCCUGACAGAGCUCUUUACAUGGAGGAGACAAACAAGCAAAAUCAUUAUGGAUGUUACGGGGAAAGUGAUGACAGAAAUAAACAGGGUGCUGUGAAAGAGAGUCACACAGGAAGCACUUACUUUAAAUAGUGUGGUAGGGAAAGGCCAUUCCCAGGAAGUGACAUUUAAAGGAAGACAUGAAAGAUGAGAGGGCACCAACCAGCCAUCAGAAGGAGAAAGCCAGGUGUUCCAGACGAAGGGGUUGGGGAGUGGAAGGGGGACGCAUCAAGUGCAGAGACCAGAGGGAGAGGCUGGGUGUGCUGGAGGGGCUGAAAGGUGGUUACUAUGUUUGAAGCUUAGUAAGCGGGUGUGGGGACAUUAGUGGAAAAGAAAGACUAUCCUCUGGAGAACUCUCAAACCAUUAAUAACAACUGAUCCUAGAAAAGUAUCAAUAAAGAGCUUUGAAAGGUAGUCAGUGUGCCUCUGCAUCUCCCCCAUUCCUUUUCCACUUCCUCUAUUCUUUUCUGGGAAUUAGGACCUAAAGGAUAAGCAAGAGGGCCUCCCUUCCUGUUAAAGUUCUUUUUCUUUUAUUUUAUUUUCUAUUUUUAUUUUUUGGAGACAGAGUCUUGCUCUGUUGUUUAGGCUGGAGUGCAGUGGCACGAUCUCAGCUCACUGCAACCUCCACCUCCCAGGUUCAUGCAAUUCUCAUGCCUCAGCCUCCUGAGUAGCUAGCACUACAGGUGUGCGCCACCGCACCUGGCUAAUUUUUUUUUUUUUUUUUUGUAUUUUAGUAGACAGGGUUUUGCCAUGUGGGCCAGGUUGGUCUUGAACUCCUGAGGUCAGGCAAUCUGCCUUCCUUGGCCUCCCAAGGUGCUGGAAUUACAGGCGUGAGUCACUGCACCUGGCCCUAUUCAUGUUCUUAUGCAGAAUCUCUAUUUCCACUGGGUCCAGGGAAGCAGGACCUCACUCUUUGCAUUUACCCAGAUUGUGGAUCCCUCCCUCCCUACUGUUUCCAGUGAAGUGGUGAUACUGUGCUCCAAUUAUAUUACAAAAACAGAAUGAGCUGCCUUUCAGCUUCAAAUAUUUUAUCUUAUAGAGCUGCAGUUUCUGUUACCUUUUGUUGGUUAAUUGUUGAGAUUGUCUGGACUCCACAUUUGUGAGUACUCACAUGUAAAAGCACACAUAUUCCUUAAUCUCUAAACAAAAGAUUUCAUUCAGCAGGAACAGUAUCCAAUCUGUUAUCCAUGCUUAUGCCCUUCCCAUUCUAAAUCUGAAACCAGCUGAUUGUUAACAAAACCUUAAAGACAGCUAAGGAACAGGACCAUGUGGGUGCCAGCAUCUUCAGCCUCAACUCACAAAUCCAGACUUUCCACCCUCAGUCCAACAUCAGGGAUGUCUUUUCUGGAAGGGUGCCAAUCGGCUAUAUCAACUCCAAAAUGGCAGCAUUUCCAGUAAAGGACAUAAGAGGUCGAAGUUACUCCCAACAAUAACGAUAAUUAAACUUUAUAAGCUUUACUGCCUACACAUCUCAUCUCAUUUAAUUCUAAGAACUGUUCUAACACGCGUUAUUAUCCCCAUGUUAUGAAAAAGAAACCGGCGCUCAGAGAAUUUAGAUGAUUUGCUCGUAGUCAUACAACUGCCAAGCGACAGACUGGAGCCAAAUCCUGUUUGAUUUCCGUGACACGGCAUUAGAGGAGUGAACACCUCCAGGUCACUAUGCCAACAGAUGACACUAAGACACUUAGUGGGCCAGGGCCAUUCACAGGUUAUCCCACAGUCCUUCAGCUCCUUCUAAUACUUUUGGGUUUGGUCCAAUUGAGAUACUGUCAUUUACCAAAUUCCACACUAUAGUCGCUCCUCCUAUAUUUGCAGUGAUUGUUCUCUUUAAAAUAUCAGCUGGAUAUUGACUUUUGUGUGCCAGGCAUUGUGCUGGGGAAACAGUGGUAUGUCAAAGAGAAGAUGUCUCUCUCUACCCCCUCGUGGAGCUUAUAAUUGGGUGUAUGUGGGGGUACCAAGCAGUCAAAUAAAAAACAAAUACAUUUAACCGCAAUCCAUGAGAUAUGCCAUGAAAGAAAAAAAGAAAUAGUAAACUGUGAGGACAUAUUAUAGGGAAGAAGAGAAGGAAAUUAUUGUCCACAAAGUCAGAAAAAUCUGUACUCAGGCUGCCUGUAUAGGAAUGCUGUGCAAUGGUGAAAGUUGACAAUUUUGGUGAAAAUCUUGAAACUUGACCCUAGAUGUAGCUUUCUAAAUAGCAAAACCUAGAUUACCCCAUAAAACCCCAUCCCACACAUCCCUGGCUAAGAACAACAGCCACAAAAAUUUCUGUGUCAUUGUCUCCAAGGCCAUAAGGAGUAGCAGCAGAUGGCAAUGCUCGACACGUAUUUCAGGGAACAGUAUGAAGUGAGGCUAUCGUGCCUAUUUGGUCAUGAUCAUAAAUCUGGUUAUUUAGAGGAAAACAGGAAAAAAACCCAAAGAAGCAAAUCCAUGUGGCAAUUAGGUCUUUUAUUUAUUAAUUAACUACCUUUUUUGAGACAGUGUUUCACUAUUGCCCAGCAGGAGUGCAGUGACACAAUCUCAGCUCCUUGAAACUUUAAACUCCUGGGCUCAAGCAAUCCUCCCGCCUCAGCCUCCCCAGUAGCUGGGACUACUGGCAUGUGCCAUCAUGCCUCUAAUUUAUAUUUAUAUUUAUAUUUAUAUUUAUAUUUAUUUAUUUAUUUUUGAGAUGAAGUCUUGCUGUGUCACCCAGGCUGGAGUGCAGUGGUGUGAUCUUGGCAAACUGCAAUCUCUGCCUCCCGGGUUCAAGUGAGUCUCCUGCCUCAGCCUCCCAAGUAGCUGUGACUACAGGUGUGCACCACCACACACAGCUAAUUUUUGUAUUUUUAGUAGAGAGAGGGUUUCGCCAUGUUGUCCAGGCUGGUCUUGAACUCCUGACCUCAGGUGAUCCACCUGCCUUGGCCUCCGAAAGGGCUGGGAAUACAGGCAUGAGCCACUGCACCUGGCCUAUGCCUGGCUAACUUUUAAAAUUUUUUGUAGAGGCAGGGUCUUGCUUUGUUGCCCAGGUGGGUUUUGAAUUCCUGGCCUCAAGCAAUCCUCUCACCCUGGCCUCCCAAAGUGCUGGAAUAUUACAGACAUGACCAAAUACACCUAGCCAUGGUCUUUUAAACAGAAAAUUAAAGGAGAUUUAAAAGAACAUGAUGGGCUUUGAGGAUCUAUAUUUUAUUAAGGGUGCUGUAGGGGCACAGAGAGAGUUCAAAUGUUUAUUUUUGCAGCUGCACUGUUAUCUCUAUUAAGAUGGAUGGGGAAUGAAGAAAAUGUUUCAGUGCUACUCUUUGGCUUUUUCCAAUGGGAGUCCAGCUCCAAGGACAUCCUUGACUGUGUCUACCACAGGGUGAUAAUGAGGGAGAGGGACAGGUGGCUGGGGUGAGGAGGGGGAAGUGUAAUCGGGGAGAAGGAAGGGAUUGGAGAGGAAACUUGUAGGUGCUCAUCAUUGGCAGCCCCUAGGCAGACUGCGACUUAAGCCAACAGUUGGGGACUCUGAUCUCACUCCACUUCCUUCACCCAAAGUUUUCCCACUGGCCCCGGUCAUGCAGCCCUCAUGUUGUAGGAUGCGCUGCAGGGCAGAGGAGAGAACACCGGAACAGAACAGAAGCUUGGGGCUGAGCCCCUACAUCUGUCACCACAUUGACUUUGGCCAAAUCACUUCCUGACUGUGGCUCUCAGAUUACUCUCCUGCUUACUGAGCAGGCUGCCACCCCAGAGGUCCACUAAGAACCUUCCAAGUAUGAAUGUUUUGUAAAACUAUACCCCUAGAUCUCCCACUGAAUUCCUUCUCAAAAGAAAAUUCAUUUGCCUUGUGAAUUUGACUCAUGAUCCAUCUGUCCCCUACUGGGGACAGACCUUGAAUUUACUGCAGACUUUCUAGGGACCGGGCAUUGUAUGAAAUGCUGUAAAUACCUUUUCCCGCAGAACCCUUCCUACAGCUCCAUGAGGUCGUAAUUUCUCUUGUAAGAAAACCUGUUCUAUACCUUAGCUUUGGUAUUUCAUUGUUUCCCUUCUGAGUUUAUAGGGACUAUAAAAUAGGUUCACAAAACCUUUCCCAACCUCUGAACCACAGUCUUGUCUACAAUGAAAGGAAAAAAAAAAAAAGUUUGGCAAAGAGCCCAACUCAUUCUAGGUAUUUGCCUAGCGGGAAGGCUAGCUGAAAAAGUUAUAGACUGGUUAAGAAUUAAACUCCUUCCAUUUGACCAUUAGUCUCUAAGAGAAAAACUGUUUUGAAUGGAAGAAGAGAAGUUAAAUAGAGUGACUGGCACACAGAAAGUACUUACAAAUUUUGCUAUUGGUUCUGAAAACCAACAGCGCGCCAGAGACUCUACUAACUUUGUAUACAACGUUGGUAUCAAAACUCACAUAUCCCAGUAUGAUAGAUUUUAUUAUCUCUCAUAUACAGAUGAUCUACAACUCAGAGAGGUUAAGUAAGUUGCUCAAGGUCACAUAGCCAAAAAAUGCUAAAGCCAAAAUCUGGACCCAGGUCCAACUUAUUCAUAAAUCAGUGUCCUUCUGGGGCUUUCUUAAGCUCCCAUUUAUGGAGUUCUUAUCAUGGUGUUUACUGUGCUGAAUUUUCUGGUCUUAUUUCAUCCUUCUGACAUUCCCUAUGCAGUAGGUAUAAUCAUCCCAAGUUUAUAUGAAGAAAUUGGGGAGCAGUGGGUUAAGUAAGAUGCCCAAGGCCACACUGCUGGUAAGCCCCCAGGCUUCUGAUUUCAAAGCCCAUGCUUAAAACUACUCUUUAUCACCUCUGGAUUUUUGCCUUGAGACUGGUAAUUGGCACAUUGGGGAUGAUUUUCUUGACUUUACAGACAGCCACUUCACUGGUUUGAGUAUUAAAAGUGUAUUGACAACAACCCUAUCCCCUGGUCGCUCUUUUCCCCCUUCUUUUUUUUUUUUUUUUUGAGAUGGAGUCUAACUUUGUUGCCCAGGCUUGAGUGCAGUGGCACAAUCUCGGCUCACUGCAACCUCCGCCUCCUGGGUUCAAGUGAUUCUUCUGCCUCAGCCUCCCGAGUAGCUAGGAUUACAGGCGUGUGCCACUGUGCCCGGCUAAUUUUUGUAAUUUUAGUAAAGAUUGGUUUUCUCCAUGUUGGCCAGGCUAGUCUUGAACUCCUGAUUCAGGUGAUCCACCUGCCUCGGCCUCCCAAAGUUCUGGGAUUACAGGCUUGAGCCACUGUGCCCGGCCAUGAGUGGGUGAUUCUAUCAGUAGGCACCAUCAUGGUAUUAGGUUGGUGCAAAAGUAAGUGCAGUUUUCACAAUUAAGAGUAAUGGCAAAAACCACAAUUACUUUUGCACCAACCUAAUAGUUUCAAGUUCUAUAUUUUUGCUUAAGUUUAGAGAGAAAGAUAAAUGUUCUCAUUCAAUUCAGAGCACAAUGUAAACUGAUGCUAUAUGUGGAGGUUCAGCUGCAGGGAGCUAGCUGGACCUAGACAGAAACUCCAUUCUUCAGCCAACUUUCUUCCAAACACCAUACCAGGAACAAUGGAGUACGGAUAGAAAAAGUAUGUGAAUGGUUCAGGGUAGCCCCAUCACCACUGCCAGAAGAUACUCGAGACUAUGCUCCUCUGUAGUGCCUCAAGGGCAUCAUCUGCACACACAAAUGUCAGAAUUAUAAGGGAAAUAUAGAAUACAAGCUUUAUUGGCAGCCCACACUAGUGUGCAUACAUUAGGUCCAAGAAUGGUCUUUGCAUUUUUGUUUAUAAGAACAAAAGAAGUGAAAUACCCUAAAUAUUCACCAGUAGGAAGACAGUUAAUCAAAUUAUGGCUCCGCCACAUAGAAUGGAAUCCUGUGUGUGACCAUUAAGAAUGAUGUUAAUGAAUCCUGAUAAAGAAAAAUGCUCAUGCUGUACUACACAAUUACAAAAUUAGAUUAUAAAACAUCUCUCAUUUUUUAGAGGCUGUAUAAUGUAAUUAAAAUUAAAGACUAUAGAGUCACACUGUCUAGCUACAAAUCCUGGCUCUGUCACUUUUAGCUGUGUGACUUUGGACACGUUGCUUAAGCGAUGUGUGUCUGUUUCAUCACCUGUACAAUGAGUUCUUACUCCCAGAGGUGUUGUAAACACCAAAUGAAUCAAUACAUGUAAAGAAUUUAAACUAGUGUGUGACUCAUUGCAAGCAAGUAUUCAAGACAUGUUUGGUCUUUCAAAAAACAAAAUGUCUAAGUGCUUACAUGAACAAAAAACACCUGGAAAGCACCACGGUGUUAACGAUAGAUUUCUCUGUGUCAUAUAACAUUACAACCUUUUUCUUUUAUCCCUAUUGUUUGCUUAUCUGCAUUUUCAAUAUUUUUUCCAAAAUUAAACAUAGGCUUAAAAAAAAACAAGAAAAUCACAUUUAAUAUUUUUAAAUCCCAAUCUUUUAUCAGAAACAGAAACCUCACCAAAACUCAUUUUUUUAAAAAAGCUAUGGGUCAGGCCAGGUAAUUACAAAACCUGGAGUCUGAAGAAAGUGCAUUGUGUUUCCUCGUCUUUGCUAGUUUGAUGGCCUAACAGCAAGAAAGAAUUUGCACCCCAGCACCUUGAUCCUGAAGAUGCAUAGGCAGGCCUGCGGAGAGGAAGAGACUAGAGAGAUGGGAAAGCCUGAUUUCAUUCCUAGCUAUCCACUUAGUUUAAAAUGUCAGGAAGUUUAGCGGAUUAAGGGUAUUACAGUCACUAUUCAUAAAGGUGUUUUGUUAGAACUUCUAAAUAGCAAUCUGGUGAAAUAAGCCUUGCACAGGCUUAAAUGAAAGCCUGUUACAGUACUUAAAGUUUCCUAGAGAAGGAAAAAGAUCCCCAGGUAUUAAUUUACCUAAAGAGCAGCUGCCUGGAAGACACUGUAAUGUAUCUUAAGUAGCCAAUGCUAUAAAACAGAUAACCAGUCACAGAACUAGGAGGUUUGAGCCCAGAUCACCCGGUGGUAGAACUGCAAUUAGCAGUAAUGAGAGGCAUGUCUACAUUUUGAUAAAAGCCACGGCUGUACAUAUAUUAUAGACUUGGGCGCUUUCUAAAAAAUCCAAGGACAUUUAAAGCUGUUGGAAUCCAAGAGACAGAGAGGCGUGUUUGAAUUUCAAAAUUCGCAAAUUAAAAAAAAGGUGGUGGGGGGCUGUCACGCUUAUCUCACAAAUGCAUCUGGAUGGCACAGUAUGUCAAACUCCAGGGAGAAAAGGAGACUCACAAUUAUUAAGCCCCUAUUUGCACAGCAGACGCAGUGCCAUUUAAGCCAAUUGACCUAAGUGUUCUCCUUUGCAGUCCUGAUCCACGGGAGCAGACAAUCUUGUAAAUGAGUCUCUAAAUCAAAGGUCUGCAAAACCAAUUCCAUUUUCCCCCCAGUCCUUCUUAUGAGAUCACAGAAGCCAUCUCAAGAAAAAAGACAUCUUCACAAUUAGGGGAAAGAUGGGUCAGGAUGAGAAGUCUUACAGAAGGGAAGGGGGUGGGGUUUGAGAGAUGCAGGCUUGGGAGUGAAUUCUGGCUUCACUAAUAAGCUGAGCUAUACAGACUGGAGCUAGUCUACCUGUCUGAGCAGUUUCCUCAUGUGGCUUGGGUAAUGAGGAAACACUGGUGAACAAGAUAGGUUCUUGCCCUCAAGAUGCUUAGAGUAUAGAUGAGGUGACAGGCUAGUAGCAGACAGUUAUAAUAGGAUGUAUUUGGUACUAUGAUAAGGAAAAGUUCAGGCCAUCAUGGGAGCAAAUAGGAGGGACACCCAAUCUGGUCUUUGGUGUGGGGUAGAGAAGGCUUCCUGGAGGAGGUGACAUUUAACGUGAGCCCUGAAGGGAUGGGGUGAGGAUGAAGAGAAUGUCUCUGCAAAGAUUGGAAGGCAAGAAAAAGGAUGGUUUGGGGCGUUGGGGAAGCAAGUAAUUCAGUGUGGUUGAAGAGAGGAGAAGGAGGGGAAGAAUAGCAGGAGCCAGAUCUCAUAGUAAGCCCGGUAACAGUUUGAACUUUAUCCAAGGGGGAUCGGAAGCUCAUAGACAGGCAUUUACUGCUUUUGGAAAAGCCAUGGGUAGCAGAGAUGCAGACAUACCAAAGGAAAAUUACUCCAGCUCUGCUUCCCAAUUCAGAAAUCUCACAGCGCUGUUUGCAUUUUAUCUAAUUUCUCUGACAAAGUCAGCGUUUUAAAAAUUAUGAUGUCCACCCCAUGGAAAGCUGUAAAUCAUAACACUAUCUCACAGCUCAUUUGUCACAGGUUCUAGAGCUCGUUCAGACACCAUUGAGUUCAACGAGCACCUGCCUUCAUGCACUUCAUUUUGGAUAAUCAAAUCUCAAAUUUUAUACAGGGUUGGUUAUCUAGUAAACUGAAGUUACUCUAGACGCUCACAACUGAAAAGAAAAUUAGGGGCCAUUUGACUCAAAUCCAAAUUUGAGUAAGUAAGCUCAGGGGGAAAAGUACCUUGCUUGAGGUCACAGAGUUUAGGGAUAGAUCCAAGGUUAAACCUCAGACCUCCAACCUCCAACCUAUGCUUUUUUGUUUUGCAGCUUCAUCUCUCCCCGUUACAGACCAGGAAUUCCAAAUUCCUAGCCCAAGGUCAGAGAGGUCUCACUGAUGCCUGUGUAGCCACGUGAGGAUGGGAAGUCUCAUUUGCCAGUAAGCACUACAGGAAGUGAUGGUUGAACACGAUGGGACUAAUAAGAAGGAAACGUAGUUAGAGUGAUCUUAUUCAUUUAAAAACAAAAGCAGCAACAAUACAGCAGUCGAGGAAAAGAAUCAAUUCUAUUUAAGCAAAGCAAUUUAAAGUAAUAAAAAAUGUUUCCAGCAUUAU